ACGAAGGGGGCUAGCGUUGUUCGGAAUUACUGGGCGUAAAGCGCACGUAGGCGGACUGAAUAGUCAGAGGUGAAAUCCCGGGGCUCAACCUCGGAAUUGCCUUUGAUACUGUCAGUCUAGAGUCCGGAAGAGGUGGGUGGAAUUCCUAGUGUAGAGGUGAAAUUCGCAGAUAUUAGGAAGAACACCGGUGGCGAAGGCGGCCCACUGGUCCGGUACUGACGCUGAGGUGCGAAAGCGUGGGGAGCAAACAGG
rnacentral:rRNA from 1 species